UCCGCCCUAGCUCAGUUGGUAGUAGCGCAUGACUGUUAAUCAUGCUGUCGUAGGUUCGAGUCCUACUGGCGGAG
rnacentral:tRNA from 1 species